rnacentral:rRNA from 1 species
CACGUGAGCAACCUGCCCCUGACUCUGGGAUAAGCGCUGGAAACGGCGUCUAAUACUGGAUAUGUCCCAUCACCGCAUGGUGUGUGGGUGGAAAGAUUUUUCGGUUGGGGAUGGGCUCGCGGCCUAUCAGCUUGUUGGUGAGGUAAUGGCUCACCAAGGCGUCGACGGGUAGCCGGCCUGAGAGGGUGACCGGCCACACUGGGACUGAGACACGGCCCAGACUCCUACGGGAGGCAGCAGUGGGGAAUAUUGCACAAUGGGCGGAAGCCUGAUGCAGCAACGCCGCGUGAGGGAUGACGGCCUUCGGGUUGUAAACCUCUUUUAGCAGGGAAGAAGCGAAAGUGACGGUACCUGCAGAAAAAGCACCGGCUAACUACGUGCCAGCAGCCGCGGUAAUACGUAGGGUGCAAGCGUUAUCCGGAAUUAUUGGGCGUAAAGAGCUCGUAGGCGGUUUGUCGCGUCUGCUGUGAAAUCCCGAGGCUCAACUUCGGGCUUGCAGUGGGUACGGGCAGACUAGAGUGCGGUAGGGGAGAUUGGAAUUCCUGGUGUAGCGGUGGAAUGCGCAGAUAUCAGGAGGAACACCGAUGGCGAAGGCAGAUCUCUGGGCCGUAACUGACGCUGAGGAGCGAAAGGGUGGGGAGCAAACAGGCUUAGAUACCCUGGUAGUCCACCCCGUAAACGUUGGGAACUAGUUGUGGGGUCCUUUCCACGGAUUCCGUGACGCAGCUAACGCAUUAAGUUCCCCGCCUGGGGAGUACGGCCGCAAGGCUAAAACUCAAAGGAAUUGACGGGGACCCGCACAAGCGGCGGAGCAUGCGGAUUAAUUCGAUGCAACGCGAAGAACCUUACCAAGGCUUGACAUACACGAGAACGGGCCAGAAAUGGUCAACUCUUUGGACACUCGUGAACAGGUGGUGCAUGGUUGUCGUCAGCUCGUGUCGUGAGAUGUUGGGUUAAGUCCCGCAACGAGCGCAACCCUCGUUCUAUGUUGCCAGCACGUAAUGGUGGGAACUCAUGGGAUACUGCCGGGGUCAACUCGGAGGAAGGUGGGGAUGACGUCAAAUCAUCAUGCCCCUUAUGUCUUGGGCUUCACGCAUGCUACAAUGGCCGGUACAAUGGGCUGCGAUACCGUAAGGUGGAGCGAAUCCCAAAAAGCCGGUCCCAGUUCGGAUUGAGGUCUGCAACUCGACCUCAUGAAGUCGGAGUCGCUAGUAAUCGCAGAUCAGCAACGCUGCGGUGAAUACGUUCCCGGGUCUUGUACACACCGCCCGUCAAGUCAUGAAAGUCGGUAACACCUGAAG